GGCUCCGUGGCUUAAUGGUUACGGCUUCUGCCUCACAAGCAGAAGGUUCAGGGAUCAAAUCUCGGCCGGUACCU
rfam:Culex pipiens quinquefasciatus supercont3.289 genomic scaffold, whole genome shotgun sequence.